AUACGUAGGGUGCAAGCGUUAAUCGGAAUUACUGGGCGUAAAGCGUGCGCAGGCGGUUUUGUAAGACAGAGGUGAAAUCCCCGGGCUCAACCUGGGAACUGCCUUUGUGACUGCAAGGCUAGAGUACGGCAGAGGGGGAUGGAAUUUCGCGUGUAGCAGUGAAAUGCGUAGAUAUGCGGAGGAACACCGAUGGCGAAGGCAAUCCCCGUGGGCUGUACGGACGCUUAUUGAAGAAAGCGUGGGGAACAAACAGGAUUAGAUACCCUGGUAGGCCACGCCCGAAACGAUGUCAACUGGUUGUUGGGUCUUCAUUGACUCAGUAACGAAGCUAACGCGUGAAGUUGACCGCCUGGGGAGUACGGCCGCAAGGUUGAAACUCAAAGGAAUUGACGGGG
rnacentral:rRNA from 1 species